GAGGGUCCCCGCCGGGCACGAGCGCAAGAUCGCCGCCAAGAUCCGCGCCACCCGGGCCAAGCGACGGCGGCAGCAGCGCCCGGGAGCCGGACCCCGAUCCUCUCCCAACAAGGUUGCAGAAUCCGUCGACAGCUGAGCGCCUUCCCGUUCUUUUUCUCCAACUGCAGCUGCUCCAUGGUUGAAGAAGCCACCUCCGGGUGACGCCCUUGGACUACAAAACCUUAUCCAGUUUCAGCCACUUGGUGCACUGUGCAAAAGGACAGCGGGUGCUUUGUUCCACUUGCGUUCAAUAACACGGAAAUCCUUCACA